rnacentral:rRNA from 1 species
AGUGAACGCUGGCGGUAGGCCUAACACAUGCAAGUCGAACGGCAGCACAGUAAGAGUUUGCUCUUACGGGUGGCGAGUGGCGGACGGGUGAGGAAUACAUCGGAAUCUACUUUUACGUGGGGGAUAACGUAGGGAAACUUACGCUAAUACCGCAUACGACCUACGGGUGAAAGCAGGGGAUCUUCGCACCUUGCGCGAUUGAAUGAGCCGAUGUCGGAUUAGCUAGUUGGCGGGGUAAAGGCCCACCAAGGCGACGAUCCGUAGCUGGUCUGAGAGGAUGAUCAGCCACACUGGAACUGAGACACGGUCCAGACUCCUACGGGAGGCAGCAGUGGGGAAUAUUGGACAAUGGGCGCAAGCCUGAUCCAGCCAUACCGCGUGGGUGAAGAAGGCCUUCGGGUUGUAAAGCCCUUUUGUUGGGAAAGAAAAGCAGCAGGUUAAUACCCCGCUGUUCUGACGGUACCCAAAGAAUAAGCACCGGCUAACUUCGUG